AUAAGCAAACCUGCAGAAUUCUGUUUUUGUGAUUGUGGACUGCAAAUCCCAGAGACCUCAGGGGCAGCAGAAAGAGGAAGUGAACACACAGUCAGAGAGCUAGCGCCUCCCUGGCUUCUGUCCUGAGCCCCUGCAGGCAUAUGGCUGUAUUUCCUGAGUUAAAGGCUGGCCCUGAUUUCCCUCAGCAUCCUCAGCAUGGUCUUUAAUGAGACCAGAAAGCUCAUUCAUCAUGGGACAGAUGGAGUGAACAAAGCCAGAAAAGAUCAGUGCAGGUCCAGCAACUGCACGCAGAGGAGAACCACCAGCUGCUGGUAGAGAUGGGGCUGCAAGGUCACCAUCACUAUCAGCAUGUGUCGCCCCCACCAGCACCAGACCCAGGACCAGAUCCUGCUGUUGGAUUGGCUGGUCAGAGUGGUAGAGAAGCAGCUCGUGGACUCUCGGGCCUGGUGAGCCCAGGACCUGGCGAGGGAG